GUGCUCACUUUAGCAGUCUAUAUACUAAAAUUAGAACAUUACAGAGAAUAUUAGUAUGGCUACUAUGCAAGAAUGAUACACAAUUUAGUGAAACAUUACAUAUUUUU